rnacentral:lncRNA from 1 species
ACCUGCACUCAUGGCAUAUGGACGUUCCCAGGCCAGGGAUCAAAUCCGAGCCACAGCUGCAACCUAGGUGACACUGGAUCCUUAACCCACUGCAUCACAGUUUUUGAGCACCUGGCAUGUGUGAUAUGAUCUCAUCCAAUUAUCUCUACUUGUUCAAAAAAAUUGCACCUUUUAAGAUCUUUACCUAGAACCUAACACAUUCCUCCAUAAUGAUAUUUAAUUACUUCAACCUGAUCCAGAAAGAGCAAUCCCACAUAGUUCAAACUAAGACCACCAGGGGCUGGCCAAGGAAUGAAGUGCCACUUGCACUAUCGCUUCGAGUAGAAAAUGCAUCUGUGGUGGUUCUAGAAACAUGCCCCCAUUCCACGAAAGUAUUUCCCUCUGAGGCUGCCAAAAAGCCACGGUCCAGUGACUGGGCAUACCACCCCACCUGGGCACACAGGAACCACUUCUGACAACGAACCACAGACCUGGCACUUGUGUAGGGGAGGCACCAGCCCCAGAGGCCGCCCAAGGAGCCCAGAGAGGCCUCCAUCCCUCCCAUCUCUGCUGCCUACCCUACCCUGCAACUGACCUCUCAGUGCGGCCAGGUCGCCUGAACCCCUGCUCUUAAUGGUACCGUGACAGGACUCCUCGAGAAUCCUUCAUAAACUCUCUCAAGCACUGCUCUUGGCGCCUCAUCACAAUACAAUCUAACAAAACAAUAUCACAGCAUUUGGGGAAGAGAGAAGCUACCAAAUUUCACCACAAAGCCUCCCUCCCCCCUGUUCCCCAGGAAACCUAGUUUGCCAGAAGAGGCAUCCUUUGCUCCCGUUUUCAUAAGGAUGCUUGGUUUACCUUUACAGUCUAAUCCCACCCAGGCCCAUGGGGGGCUUUCCUUCUCUGUACCAAUUCUCCCACAGGACCCCUGGGGUGGGCCAUCUAGGAGCCCCUCCAAGAUGUCCAUGUUCUCACACCUGGAACCUGUGACUGUACUACCCUGCAUGGCAAAGGUGACUUUUCAGACGGGAUCCGGAUUCUCCUGGAUGGCUCAGGGGGCCCUGAUGCAGCAACAGAGGUCCUUAUAACAAGGAUACAGGAGAAUUUAAAGAGUCAGAAGUAGACGUGAGGAAAGGGUCUCGAGCCAAGCACAGGGGCAGGCUCCAGAAUCUAGAAAAGGCAACGAAACAGAUGCUCUACUCAGGGCCUCCAGAGGGAACCAGCCUUGCCAAUACCUUGACCUUAGCCCAGCGAAACUGAUUUUGGCCUUCAAGACUCUAGAACAGUGAGAAGAUUGAUUUAUGUUAUUUUAAGCCACAAGGUUUGUGGUCAUUUCUAACAGCAUCUCUUCCGGAGAAAGGGGACUGUGAUGAUGAUAAACACACAGAACCAGAAAUACCCUUGAACUUCAGGCAUGAGUCGUCCUCAUUGGGAUCCACACAGCCUUUCUCUCUGGACUCUAGGAGCCCGCUGAAUCCUCUGCUCUCGCACACCAAAAUUGAGAACCCAAGACCCGUGAUGCCAUAAGCAAGGGUUAUGACUUGUGAGUACUGCUCAGUAGAGCAUCUUAGCACCUAGAUGGAAAAAACAACUCCCAUCCUAGCCUGCUGCCUUUGUGAUUCAUAAACCAGGGAAACGACAGAAAAACAGUAAAGAAUGUGUACAGCACUUUGAUUUUAUCCAACAGAAGAUACUGGGCAAAACAAAACACAAAACCUACAAGGAAGCGCCUCCAGAUCCACAAUUCCUUUUACCACACGGACAGGAGCUGGGCCAAGCCAACUUCGCUCCAUGGAUCCCACAGGUGGGCCAGCCUGCAGUCUCGCCUCGCUGCCGGGCAGCCAGCCUGAGCCCUGGAAAGCCAGAGCCUGUGCCCACGGGGCUCCUCAAGACAACGAGAGGAGGAAGGCUCUGGAAGGUGGUGGCAUCCUGCCCACCUCGGAGGUAGCCUGGGGCCUCUGGAUCACGCCAUCUCGCCAGCACCUGAGAGGUGUGGGCCAGGCAGCCAACCACAUCAGAAGCUGGCUGCCAGCCGGCCCCAGUUGCCCAACACCUCCGCAGGAGCCAGCUUUCCAGGAGUGGGUUUUACCCGCCACACAGGUACCAGCCGCUGCUGACCAAAGCGGGGCACGGCGCCUUGAAGAAUGUCCCACACGAUGGCCAGCCCGACGGGGGUCAAGGAGGCUGUCCGGCUACAGAGCAAUGCAAUGCACCUGCGCUCCACACUGGCCUCUGCAAAGCACGUUCUCUGCGCGGAUUACGCAAAGCAGGAUCCCACCAGGCUCUUCCUAGGACUCCAGCCGACCUCGGCUUUCCUCCAAGCCCAUGUCAGACCUCCCACCCCUCCCUACCUAUCCACCCCUUAAUCCUCCCAACCCUACAAGUCACUGGUUUACACGCUCCCAGUGUAGCCCGUUUCCGUUAUGUUUAACAAGUAACGUCGUGAAGGGCGUGUCAGGAUGUUCAGGGUCAGGGUACCUAGGCUUCCUCCGUGGGAGUUAAACCUGUGACUUCAGGGCACGUGUACAAGGUGGCACUUUAAGCCGGGUAAAGUAGUCAAAGGAAAAAAAAGAAAAGAAAGUUAACCAACCUUCCACAAAGGGCUCUCAUUCCGCCUCUGCUUAAUAAAGAUGCAACUCGGAAUAUUCCAAGUCCAAGAGAAGGUGGAUUUUGGCAAAAGCGGCAUCUAAUUUGCCCAAGAUUCAAAGUCUUUGAGCCACUUGACCAGUUUUCUCUCUGCCGACUACUUCUUCUGAUGUGCCCCCCCCCAAAAUAAACCAGGCCCAGAAAUAGAAUCCCAUCUCCCUUGGCUCUUAUGACUAAUGUAUGGCCUUCUUUUAAAGCCCUCACACCACAGCUCUGACUCCAGUAAUUUCCUCUUCUUCUCUACGAACGUCCAUUUACAGCCUUUCUGUAACCUCUACGUGAACCAAGAAUGUUCUCUGUCCCUCCCACGGAUGUGGGAUCACGCCCUGGUGAGAGCGGGGUGGCGCUGGACGGAAUCUCUCACUGCAGUGUGAGCUCACUCGGGACCCUACCCAAGCCCAGCUCCCGGAGAAGGGGAGGAGGUCUUUUGCUUUAAGGAGCUUUUACAAAAGACAAAACAAUUCCAAGGGCUGGGUGGGCAACCAGUAAAACUCAAGACAUGGCUCGGGGGUUCCUUAUGCACUUGGAUGAAGGGGCAUAGCGGCAUCUUUAUUUCAUUUUUAUCUGGGGAGGAGGGUUUGGGAAGGUGUCCCAGAAAAUAGCGUCCGUCCG